rnacentral:rRNA from 1 species
UACAGAGGGUGCAAGCGUUGUUCGGAAUUAUUGGGCGUAAAGGGCGCGUAGGCGGUUUGCUAAGUUGAAUGUGAAAACUCUGGGCUUAACCCAGAGCCUGCAUUCAAUACUGGCAGGCUAGAGUUCUGGAGGGGAUAGCGGAAUUCCUGGUGUAGCGGUGAAAUGCGUAGAUAUCAGGAGGAACACCGGUGGCGAAGGCGGCUAUCUGGACAGAGUCUGACGCUGAGGCGCGAAAGCUAGGGGAGCAAACAGG